GACGAACGCUGGCGGCGUGCUUAACACAUGCAAGUCGAGCGGUAAGGCCCUUUCGGGGUACGACGAGCGGCGAACGGGUGAGUAACACGUGGGUGACCUGCCCUCAGCUCUGGGAUAAGCCUGGGAAACUGGGUCUAAUACUGGAUAUGACUCCACGGUGCAUGUCGUGGGGUGGAAAGCCUUGUGCGGCUGAGGAUGGGCCCGCGGCCUAUCAGCUUGUUGGUGGGGUGANGGCCUACCAAGGCGACGACGGGUAGCCGGCCUGAGAGGGCGACCGGCCACACUGGGACUGAGACACGGCCCAGACUCCUACGGGAGGCAGCAGUGGGGAAUCUUGCGCAAUGGGCGAAAGCCUGACGCAGCGACGCCGCGUGAGGGAUGAC
rnacentral:rRNA from 1 species